rnacentral:rRNA from 1 species
UACCCGCUCCCCGAGUGGUGGGGACGAUGAUUGGGCUUAAAGCGCCCGUAGCCGUCCCUGUGUGUUUCAUGUUAAAUCCGACGGCCUAACCGUCGGUGUGCAUGAAAUACUGCAGGGAUAGGAGGCGGGGGAGGUCGCCGGUACUCCUAGGGUAGGGGCAAAAUCCUCUGAUCCUAGGAAGACCACCAGUGGCGAAGGCGGGCGGCCAAAACGCGCUCGACGGUGAGGGGCGAAAGCUGGGGGAGCGAUCCGG